AGUCGAAUUGACCGUCGGACAAAUCUGAUACCAGAGCAGGAUGUCUGAGCUGAGCGACGAGGCCAGCAGUGAGUCGGAGCAGUUAGGCGCGGGUCUGUCCGUGUGGCUGGCGGGCGGAGGAGACGCUCUGAUCGGCCCGGAGGAGCUGAACGUGCCGCUGGGUCUUCACACCGCCUGCUCCAUCGGACAGUAUGAUGUGGUGGCCGAAUGCAUCCGCAGGAUCUUGCAGAGUUUCUGGAGCAGAUCGGGUUCGGUAAAUACCUUCCCCUGCUGGAGGAGCAAGACAUCGACCUGAGCAU